rnacentral:misc_RNA from 1 species
AGGUAAAGCACUAAACGACGACGUACUUUCGAACCCAUUGACAACACUACCCUUUACACCACCACCAAAACCCACAACACUCCCAUCACUACCAGUGGCAUCAUCAUAAAUAUUGUCAAGUUGGAGGACAGUUCUAGGAGUCGAGGUAUUUGCACUUACAGAAGCACCGGAAAUCGCUCUGAACCCGGUUUCCGUCGAACCGGUCAGUCUAUUCCUCCCCGGUUCAUCAAACCGUAGUGACUGAGAAGGUGAAACAAAUCGA